AAGCAGCUGUACAUCAUACUGUACAUUGUUAAUUUUGUGAAUAUAAAUUGCAUCUUGUUUUCAUUUUAUAUGAAUAUACAGGCAUGUACAUGUACCACAUUAUAUUGCAUUGUCACUCUAGCAGUACAAGUAGUGAACUCUUUCUUUAUGUUCUUCCGUUUUAUCUUGUAGAGAUUUGAAGCCUGAGAAUCUUCUCAUUGAUCAGCAUGGCUAUGUUAAAGUAACUGACUUUGGUUUUGCAAAGCGUGUUAAAGGUAGGACUUGGACCCUUUGUGGUACUCCUGAGUAUUUGGCUCCUGAGAUCAUCCUCUCCAAGGUAGAUACA